rfam:Sugiyamaella lignohabitans strain CBS 10342 chromosome C, complete sequence.
GGCCCGAUGGUUUAGGGGUAUAAUACUCGCUUAGGGCGUUAAUUGGUAACAAUACAAACUCUAAGUCGUUUGCGAGUGGUCCCGGGUUCGAUUCCCGGUUGGGCCC